rnacentral:rRNA from 1 species
CACGUAGGGUGCGAGCGUUGUCCGGAAUUAUUGGGCGUAAAGCGCACGUAGGCGGCUUAGCAAGUCGGAAGUGAAAUCCCUCGGCUCAACCAAGGAAGUGCUUUCGAAACUGCUGAGCUUGAGUACUAAAGAGGAUCGCGGAAUUCCCGGUGUAGAGGUGAAAUUCGUAGAUAUCGGGAGGAACACCAGUGGCGAAGGCGGCGAUCUGGGUAGAUACUGACGCUGAGGUGCGAAAGCGUGGGGAGCAAACAGG